rnacentral:rRNA from 1 species
AGCAGCCGCGGUAAUUCCAGCUCCAAUAGCGUAUAUUAAAGUUGUUGCAGUUAAAAAGCUCGUAGUUGAAUUUCGGGAUUGACGUGAUGGUCGUGCCUUACGGGGUAUGAACUGUCGCAGUUGAUUUCUCACCUUCUGGAGAAGCUCGAUGUCCUUAAUUGGGUGUCUUGCGGAACCAGGACCUUUACCUUGAAAAAAUUAGAGUGUUUAAAGCAGGCAUUUUGCUCGAAUACAUUAGCAUGGAAUAAUAGAAUAGGACGGCAUGGUUCUAUUUUUGUUGGUUUCUAGGAUCACCGUAAUGAUUAAUAGGGAUAGUUGGGGGCAUUAGUAUUCAAUUGUCAGAGGUGAAAUUCUUGGAUUUAUUGAAGACUAACUACUGCGAAAGCAUUUGCCAAGGAUGUUUUCAUUAAUCAAGAACGAAAGUUAGGGGAUCGAAGACGAUCAGAUACCGUCGUAGUCUUAACCAUAAACUAUGCCGACUAGGAAUCAGACGAUGUUAAUUUUUAAUGACUCGU